rnacentral:rRNA from 1 species
AUGCCUCGGCCAAGUGGUAGGGGUGUUCGUGGCCGUGUCCCUGGUCGUGGUGCUGAUUCCGGGAAUGCAGCUGCUGCUGUUAUCCCUGGUCGGGCUGCUGGUCGUUGGUUCACCGCCGCUCCUAGGCGUGCGGCGGUCCUUGGUAUUGCUAGACGUUACGUGCCACGUCAGCCUGUUGGGUGUCCUCCUUGA